GAUAAACGCUGGCGGCGUGCUUAACACAUGCAAGUCGAACGGUAAGGCCCUUCGGGGUACACGAGUGGCGAACGGGUGAGUAACACGUGGGUGAUCUGCCCUGCACUUCGGGAUAAGCCUGGGAAACUGGGUCUAAUACCGGAUAGGACUCCGGACUGCAUGGUCUGGGGUGGAAAGCUUUUGUGGUGUGGGAUGGGCCCGCGGCCUAUCAGCUUGUUGGUGGGGUGAUGGCCUACCAAGGCGACGACGGGUAGCCGGCCUGAGAGGGUGACCGGCCACACUGGGACUGGGAUACGGCCCAGACUCCUACGGGAGGCAGCAGUGGGGAAUAUUGCACAAUGGGCGCAAGCCUGAUGCAGCGACGCCGCGUGAGGGAUGACGGCCUUCGGGUUGUAAACCUCUUUCAGCAUCGACGAAGCGAAAGUGACGGUAGGUGCAGAAGAAGGACCGGCCAACUACGUGCCAGCAGCCGCAGUAAGAC
rnacentral:rRNA from 1 species